UCGAACGAAGUAGCAAUACUUAGUGGCAGACGGGUGAGUAACAUGUAGGUAUCUGCCCUUUGGCCUGGAAUAACACGAGGAAACUUGUGCUAAUACCGGAUAAGUCUUUACGGAGAAAGCUUUAUGCACCAUUGGAUGAGCCUGCACUUGAUUAGUUUGUUGGUGGGGUAAUGGCCUACCAAGACUGUGAUCUAUAGCUGAUUUGAGAGGAUGAUCAGCCACAUUGGGACUGAGACACGGCCCAAACUCCUACGGGAGGCAGCAGUGGGGAAUCUUGCACAAUGGAGGAAACUCUGAUGCAGCGAUGCCGCGUGAGUGAAGAAGGCCCUUGGGUUGUAAAGCUCUUUCGUCGGGGAAGAAAAUGACUGUACCCGAAUAAGAAGGUCCGGCUAACUUCGUGCCAGCAGCCGCGGUAAUACGAAGGGACCUAGCGUAGUUCGGAAUUACUGGGCUUAAAGAGUUCGUAGGUGGUUGAAAAAGUUGGUGGUGAAAUCCCAGAGCUUAACUCUGGAACUGCCAUCAAAACUUUUCAGCUAGAGUAUGAUAGAGGAAAGCAGAAUUUCUAGUGUAGAGGUGAAAUUCGUAGAUAUUAGAAAGAAUACCAAUUGCGAAGGCAGCUUUCUGGAUCAUUACUGACACUGAGGAACGAAAGCAUGGGUAGCGAAGAGGAUUAGAUACCCUCGUAGUCCAUGCCGUAAACGAUGUGUGUUAGACGUUGGAAAUUUAUUUUCAGUGUCGCAGCGAAAGCGAUAAACACACCGCCUGGGGAGUACGACCGCAAGGUUAAAACUCAAAUGAAUUGACGGGGACCCGCACAAGUAGUGGAGCAUGUGGUUUAAUUCGAAGAUACGCGCAGAACCUUACCAACACUUGACAUGUUCGUCGCGACUCUAAGAGAUUAGAGUUUUCGGUUCGGCCGGACGAAACACAGGUGCUGCAUGGCUGUCGUCAGCUCGUGUCGUGAGAUGUUGGGUUAAGUCCCGCAACGAGCGCAACCCUCACUUUUAGUUGCCAUCAUUAAGUUGGGCACUCUGAAAGAACUGCCAGUGAUAAGCUGGAGGAAGGUGGGGAUGACGUCAAGUCCUCAUGGCCCUUACGUGUUGGGCUACACACGUGCUACAAUGGUAUCUACAACAGGAAGCAAAACGGCAACGUUAAGCAAAUCCCGAAAAGAUACCUCAGUUCGGAUUGCACUCUGCAACUCGAGUGCAUGAAGCUGGAAUUACUAGUAAUCGUGGAUCAGCGUGCCACGGUGAAUGCGUUCCCGGGUCUUGUACACACCGCCCGUCACACCAUGGGAGUUGGUUCUACCUUAAGGCAAGGUUUCAAACCCU
rnacentral:rRNA from 1 species